rnacentral:rRNA from 1 species
GACGAACGCUGGCGGCGUGCUUAACACAUGCAAGUCGAACGGAAAGGCCCUGCUUUUGUGGGGUGCUCGAGUGGCGAACGGGUGAGUAACACGUGAGUAACCUGCCCUUGACUUUGGGAUAACUUCAGGAAACUGGGGCUAAUACCGGAUAGGAGCUCCUGCUGCAUGGUGGGGGUUUGAAAGUUUCGGCGGUUGGGGAUGGACUCGCGGCUUAUCAGCUUGUUGGUGGGGGAGUGGCUUACCAAGGCUUUGACGGGUAGCCGGCCUGAGAGGGUGACCGGCCACAUUGGGACUGAGAUACGGCCCAGACUCCUACGGGAGGCAGCAGUGGGGAAUAUUGCACAAUGGGCGGAAGCCUGAUGCAGCAACGCCGCGUGCGGGAUGACGGCCUUCGGGUUGUAAACCGCUUUCGCCUGUGACGAAGCGUGAGUGACGGUAAUGGGUAAAGAAGCACCGGCUAACUACGUG